rnacentral:rRNA from 1 species
UGAGGAAUAUUGCUCAAUGGCCGCAAGGCUGAAGCAGCAACGCCGCGUGAGGGAUGAAGGAUCUAUGGUCUGUAAACCUCUGUAGAGGAGGAAAAAUAACCGAUUAUAUGGGCUUGAUAGUACUUCUAGAGUAAGCCACGGCUAACUACGUGCCAGCAGCCGCGGUAAUACGUAGGGGGCGCGCGUUGUCCGGAGUCACUGGGUGUAAAGGGUGCUCAGGCGGGUCGAUAAGUCAGGGGUGAAAUUUCACAGCUUAACUGUGAAUGUGCUUUUGAUACUGACGGUCUAGAGUUCAGAAGAGGGCAAUGGAAUUCUGGGUGUAGCGGUGAAAUGCGUAGAUAUCAAGAAGAACACCAGUUGCGAAGGCGGUUGCCUGGUCUGUAACUGACGCUCAAGCACGAAAGCGUGGGGAUCAAACA